AACGCGAAGAACCUUACCAGGCCUUGACAUGGGGAGUAUGGGAUUGCGAAAGCAGUCCCUUCAGUUCGGCUGGCUCCCACACAGGUGCUGCAUGGCUGUCGUCAGCUCGUGUCGUGAGAUGUUGGGUUAAGUCCCGCAACGAGCGCAACCCUCAUCUUCAGUUGCCAGCGGUUCGGCCGGGCACUCUGAAGAAACUGCCGGUGACAAGCCGGAGGAAGGCGGGGAUGACGUCAAGUCCUCAUGGCCUUUAUGGCCUGGGCUACACACGUGCUACAAUGGCGGAUACAGUGGGGAGCGAAGGAGCAAUCCGGAGCCAAUCCUCAAAAACCGUCUCAGUUCAGAUUGCACUCUGCAACUCGAGUGCAUGAAGGUGGAAUCGCUAGUAAUCGUGGAUCAGCAUGCCACGGUGAAUACGUUCCCGGGCCUUGUACACACCGCGAGC
rnacentral:rRNA from 1 species